rnacentral:rRNA from 1 species
UGGGGAAUAUUGCACAAUGGACGGAAGUUUGAUGCAGCGACGCCGCGUGGAGGGUGUAGGCCUUCGGGUUGUGAACUCCUUUUUCUCGCGAAAAAGGCACAGUUUUGGCUGUGUUGAUGGUAGUGGGGGAAGAAGCGCCGGCUAACUACGUGCCAGCAGCCGCGGUAAUACGUAGGGGGCUAGCGUUGUCCGGAAUCACUGGGCGUAAAGGGUUCGCAGGCGGAAAUGCAAGUCAGGUGUAAAAGGCAGUAGCUUAACUACUGUAAGCAUUUGAAACUGCAUAUCUUGAGAAGAGUAGAGGUAAGUGGAAUUUUUAGUGUAGCGGUGAAAUGCGUAGAUAUUAAAAAGAAUACCGGUGGCGAAGGCGACUUACUGGGCUCAUUCUGACGCUGAGGAACGAAAGCGUGGGUAGCAAACAGG